AAUGGAAUAGCUGGGUCAUAUGGUAACUCUAUUUUUAAUUGUUUGAGAAACUGCCAGACUGUUUUCCAAAAUGGCUGCACCAUUUUACAUUCUCAUCAGCAAU
rnacentral:pre_miRNA from 1 species